rnacentral:rRNA from 1 species
GAGUUUGAUCAUGGCUCAGAACGAACGCUGGCGGCGUGCUUAACACAUGCAAGUCGAACGCGAAAGUUUUCUUCGGAAAACGAGUAGAGUGGCGCACGGGUGAGUAACGCGUAAAUAAUCUACCCUUGCAUCUGGGAUAACCCACCGAAAGGUGUGCUAAUACCGGAUACGUUCUUUUAACCGCGAGGUUUUAAGAAGAAAGGUGGCCUCUGAUAUAAGCUACUGUGCAGGGAGGAGUUUGCGUACCAUUAGCUAGUUGGUAGGGUAAUGGCCUACCAAGGCAACGAUGGUUAGCGGGUCUGAGAGGAUGAUCCGCCACACUGGAACUGGAACACGGACCAGACUCCUACGGGAGGCAGCAGUGAGGAAUAUUGCGCAAUGGGGGAAACCCUGACGCAGCGACGCCGCGUGGAUGAUGAAGGCCUUCGGGUCGCAAAAUCCUGUCAGAUGGAAAGAAAUGUAUANGUAUUAAUAGUAUGUAUGCUUGACGG